AGCAUGUGGUUAAUUCGAAGCAACGCGAAGAACCUUACCAGGCCUUGACAUGCUAGGAACCCGGUGAAAGCCUGGGGUGCCCCGGCGAGGGGAGCCCUAGCACAGGUGCUGCAUGGCCGUCGUCAGCUCGUGCCGUGAGGUGUUGGGUUAAGUCCCGCAACGAGCGCAACCCUCGUCCUAUGUUGCCAGCGGGUCAUGCCGGGGACUCAUGGGAGACUGCCGGGGUCAACUCGGAGGAAGUGGGGAUGACGUCAAAUCAUCAUGCCCCUUAUGUCUUGGGCUUCACGCAUGCUACAAUGGCCGGUACAAAGGGCUGCGAUACCGCGAGGUGGAGCGAAUCCCAGAAAGCCGGUCUCAGUUCGGAUUGGGGUCUGCAACUCGACCCCAUGAAGUCGGAGUCGCUAGUAAUCGCAGAUCAGCAACGCUGCGGUGAAUACGUUCCCGGGCCUU
rnacentral:rRNA from 1 species